rnacentral:rRNA from 1 species
GGCGAAUGAAUUUACCGGCCGCGAAUCGCCCUUAGAGUUUGAUCCUGGCUCAGGACGAACGCUGGCGGCGCGCCUAACACAUGCAAGUCGAACGAGCGAGAGAGAGCUUGCUUUCUCAAGCGAGUGGCGAACGGGUGAGUAACGCGUGAGGAACCUGCCUCAAAGAGGGGGACAACAGUUGGAAACGACUGCUAAUACCGCAUAAGCCCACAGCUCGGCAUCGAGCAGAGGGAAAAGGAGCAAUCCGCUUUGAGAUGGCCUCGCGUCCGAUUAGCUAGUUGGUGAGGUAACGGCCCACCAAGGCAACGAUCGGUAGCCGGACUGAGAGGUUGAACGGCCACAUUGGGACUGAGACACGGCCCAGACUCCUACGGGAGGCAGCAGUGGGGAAUAUUGCACAAUGGGGGAAACCCUGAUGCAGCGACGCCGCGUGGAGGAAGAAGGUCUUCGGAUUGUAAACUCCUGUUGUUGAGGAAGAUAAUGACGGUACUCAACAAGGAAGUGACGGCUAACUACGUGCCAGCAGCCGCGGUAAAACGUAGGUCACAAGCGUUGUCCGGAAUUACUGGGUGUAAAGGGAGCGCAGGCGGGAAGACAAGUUGGAAGUGAAAUCUAUGGGCUCAACCCAUAAACUGCUUUCAAAACUGUUUUUCUUGAGUAGUGCAGAGGUAGGCGGAAUUCCCGGUGUAGCGGUGGAAUGCGUAGAUAUCGGGAGGAACACCAGUGGCGAAGGCGGCCUACUGGGCACCAACUGACGCUGAGGCUCGAAAGUGUGGGUAGCANACAGGAUUAGAUACNCUGGUAGUCCACACCGUAAACGAUGAUUACUAGGUGUUGGAGGAUUGACCCCUUCAGUGCCGCAGUUAACACAAUAAGUAAUCCACCUGGGGAGUACGACCGCAAGGUUGAAACUCAAAGGAAUUGACGGGGGCCCGCACAAGCAGUGGAGUAUGUGGUUUAAUUCGACGCAACGCGAAGAACCUUACCAAGUCUUGACAUCCCUUGACGAACAUAGAAAUAUGUUUUCUCUUCGGAGCAAGGAGACAGGUGGUGCAUGGUUGUCGUCAGCUCGUGUCGUGAGAUGUUGGGUUAAGUCCCGCAACGAGCGCAACCCUUACUGUCAGUUACUACACAAGAGGACUCUGGCAGGACUGCCGUUGACAAAACGGAGGAAGGUGGGGAUGACGUCAAAUCAUCAUGCCCUUUAUGACUUGGGCUACACACGUACUACAAUGGCGUUAAACAAAGAGAAGCAAGACCGCGAGGUGGAGCAAAACUCAGAAACAACGUCCCAGUUCGGACUGCAGGCUGCAACUCGCCUGCACGAAGUCGGAAUUGCUAGUAAUCGUGGAUCAGCAUGCCACGGUGAAUACGUUCCNCGGGCCAUUGUACACACCGCCCGUC